rnacentral:rRNA from 1 species
AACGAACGCUGGCGGCAGGCCUAACACAUGCAAGUCGAGCGCACCUUCGGGUGAGCGGCGGACGGGUUAGUAACGCGUGGGAACGUGCCCUUCUCUACGGAAUAGCCCCUGGAAACGGAGAGUAAUACCGUAUACGCCCUUUGGGGGAAAGAUUUAUCGGAGAAGGAUCGGCCCGCGUUAGAUUAGGUAGUUGGUGGGGUAACGGCCUACCAAGCCUACGAUCUAUAGCUGGUUUUAGAGGAUGAUCAGCAACACUGGGACUGAGACACGGCCCAGACUCCUACGGGAGGCAGCAGUGGGGAAUCUUAGACAAUGGGGGCAACCCUGAUCUAGCCAUGCCGCGUGAGUGAUGAAGGCCUUAGGGUCGUAAAGCUCUUUCGCCUGUGAUGAUAAUGACAGUAGCAGGUAAAGAAACCCCGGCUAACUCCGUG